rnacentral:rRNA from 1 species
GAUGAACGCUGGCGGCGUGCUUAACACAUGCAAGUCGAACGAUGAAGCUCAGCUUGCUGGGUGGAUUAGUGGCGAACGGGUGAGUAACACGUGAGUAACCUGCCCUUAACUCUGGGAUAAGCCUGGGAAACUAGGUCUAAUACCGGAUAGGAGCGCCUACCGCAUGGUGGGUGUUGGAAAAAUUUAUCGGUUUUGGAUGGACUCGCGGCCUAUCAGCUGGUUGGUGAGGUAAUGGCUCACCAAGGCGACGACGGGUAGCCGGCCUGAGAGGGUGACCGGCCACACUGGGACUGAGACACGGCCCAGACUCCUACGGGAGGCAGCAGUGGGGAAUAUUGCACAAUGGGCGAAAGCCUGAUGCAGCGACGCCGCGUGAGGGAUGACGGCCUUCGGGUUGUAAACCUCUUUCAGUAGGGAAGAAGCGAAAGUGACGGUACCUGCAGAAGAAGCACCGGCUAACUACGUG